rnacentral:rRNA from 1 species
UACGUAGGGUGCGAGCGUUAAUCGGAAUUACUGGGCGUAAAGCGUGCGCAGGCGGUUUUGUAAGCCAGGCGUGAAAUCCCGAGGCUCAACCUCGGGUCUGCAGUCGAUACGGGCGGACUGGAGUUCGGCAGGGGAGACUGGAAUUCCUGGUGUAGCGGUGAAAUGCGCAGAUAUCAGGAGGAACACCGGUGGCGAAGGCGGGCCUCUGGGCCGAUACUGACGCUGAGGAGCGAAAGCGUGGGGAGCGAACAGG